rnacentral:tRNA from 1 species
CAUUAAGAAGCUAAACAGCAUUAGCCUUUUAAGCUAAAGAUGGGGUAACACAACCCCCUUGAUGA